rnacentral:rRNA from 1 species
UACAGAGGUCUCAAGCGUUGUUCGGAUUCAUUGGGCGUAAAGGGUGCGUAGGCGGCGCGGUAAGUCGGGUGUGAAAAUCUCGGAGCUUAACUCCGAAACUGCAUUCGAUACUGCCGUGCUUGAGGACUGGAGAGGAGACUGGAAUUUACGGUGUAGCGGUGAAAUGCGUAGAUAUCGUAAGGAAGACCAGUGGCGAAGGCGGGUCUCUGGACAGUUCCUGACGCUGAGGCACGAAGGCCAGGGGAGCAAACGGG